UUCAUUAUUAUGUCCAAAAAAAACAAAAACGAGGCAUCCACUCCCGUCUUUUUCUCAUCGCAUCGAAAUUCGAAAUCCUCUCUCUCUCUCUCUCUCUCUCUCUCUGUCCUCCAAAUCACAAAUCACAAUUCUCGAUUCACAGCAAAUAGAUCUAGACAUGCAAUUUGUAGCUGAUUCGCCAUCAAAGAAUAUCAAAUUAUAAGCUUUUCAAGAAAUCUGCGAUCUUAUCAGUAUGUUGUUUGGUUGCUCUGCAAAUUAGAGAACCCGAUUAUGACAGUAAAAAUGUAUGUUUUCUCAUUUUUUUCUUAUCUUUUUGUCUUUUGGGUUUAUUUGGUUUUGAUAUGUUUAUUUCAUCAUAAAAGUAAAAGCUUACAUAUAUGAGAGUUAACUUACGAAGAAAUUUUCAGUAAAAAGCUGAGUGGAGAGCCAAAAUAAUGGAUUUUGUCUCUUUGGAUUAUCUUAUUUUAUACUAGUAUAACUGAUUUUGUCAAAAGAAUAUUUGGAUGAACUGAUUUAAAUUUGGAAAAUCCAAAAAGAAAUCUACAUUGAGAUUGCAUUUAUAUGUGAAUUAACAUCAUAAGAACUCUCCAAUGCAAAAAGAAAAAUGGAGAACAGUUUCAAUAUUAGCUCACAAGUUCAAUGGAGCACUUAAAAGCAGGGUUUUUAGUGCCUGUUUGGGUGAGGGGCUGCAAAUUUGAUUUUAUAUUAUCUUGAUUUUGCUAAUUGAUUAUUUGUAAUGUUAGUUUUGCUGAACAUUAUAUUUUUAUUGCCCCUUGUUUGUUAUCAUGAGAAAUUUUGGAUCUAGAUCUUUAUUCUUUUACAAUAGGAUUCUGAUGGAACUAAAUUUAAAUGUCAACUAUUGGUUGUUUAAUGCUUGACACAGGAUUGUUUGAAGUUGUUUUCAUGCUUAAAGGUUUAUUUUUCUGUCCCUUACCACACACAAGUAUCACGUGCUUGACAAGCGUCUUCUGGUAUUUGAUAGUUUGAUGAUCAUAUUUCUGUCUUGAAAUAUUGCUGUUAUAGAUGUUUAUUUCAUUUUAUAUUAGUUUUAUAUGUCGGAGGCCUAAUAAAAGUUAUGGUUGCAAAUCUAGUCUUAAGAAGAAAUUUGCCCAUAUGCUAUUGAUGAUUGUAAAGCUGCCAAAAAUUUCAAAUAUUGCAUGAUGAUAGGUGUGUUCAAUUUUGAGAUACUGUAACAGUGUUCAGAUUUGAAAGGUAUAAUAACACAUCUAUUUGAAAGGUAUAAGAACACAUAUCCCUUCUGGUUUUGAUGAAAUCAAAGUUUGAUAUGUAA